UUAUCAUUUUGAAAAUAUAGUUCCAAUUCUACAUGCUAGACGGCGACUCCAAUGGGCGGCGUCCUGCGCCCAGCUGACGAAAGAGAAGAACAAGUGAAAGAAAACUUUGUUUGUCAAGAACGCAUUAAUUGUUAAAGGAGUAGAUUUUGGUGAUAGUUAGCUGUUAAGCUUUUGGGUCUUUACCCCACUAACAUGUCCUCUUUAUGCAUUUUUCAAAAAUCUUUUAUUUUCUCUUAAAUACCUUCGAUAACAAUCCACGAAGUCACUAACAGAACGUUGUUGCUAUGAUGUUUUUCGCGCUACGCCGCUAGUUGAGUAUUGAUUUUUACAGUUUCAGACAAGCGCGCUUCCCCCUUUUGAAUGACAAAAAGUCUAGUAUUGGAUGACUACUCUUGAUGUGUGAAAGUCAUGGAAUCAGUGAAUACAGAAGUCAUAAUGGGCUUGUUUGCAACCAAAUCAGCAGUUGUAGAUGGUGAUACCAUAGUGGAAAAGUGUUGUAAUGAAGAAGAGCAAGGGAAACAAACCAGACUUCAUGGUGAACAAAAAGUAGAUGCUGCUUCCUCAUCUCCUGUCCUAGUGUCACCACUUACUGCUUUACAAGACUUGACACGUGAAUAUCAAGAAAUAGACCCUGUAUCUUCUAAGUCGACCAGUCUCUCUGAAGUGGAAGAAGGACAAAUUCUUGAAUCAUCCUCUGAUGCUUUUGACCUGACCACAAAUGUCAAUAAGCGACCAAGUUCUGUGCUGUCUGAUACACCUGGUGGAGCUGGGUUGGCCAAAAAAACAAAGAAAAAGAUCUCAUUUUCAUCUGUGACAGCUUAUUACUUCCCUCGAGCGCAAGGUUUCACCUGCAUCCCUUCACAAGGGGGCUCAACACUUGGUAUGGCUCUAAAGCACAGCCAUGAGGAAAGCUUUACCUUAGCUGAACAUGCAAAUUACCAAAGACGGAAUCAUCGUAGAUUAUUGCUUCAGCUACGUAAAAGAAGAAAGAGUCGUAGUGCGACAAAAGCCAGUGAAGAGGACGCAGUGGCAGCAGCGGCAGCUACAGCUCUAGCUCUGGAGGCCACCAACAGUACCUUGGAAGUUUUUGCCAGCAACAGUAAUCCAGACACCAAAAAUAAAAAUGACGUAAAAGAAUCCGAUAGUGACGAUAGUGAUGCAGAUGGACAACAAAUAAGCGAUGUGUCUGAUUCUGAACUAGAAGUUGACAACUAUUAUUUUUUACAGCCUGUUCCGACAAGGCAGAGACGAGUAUUGUUACGGGAAUCGGGAAUUGGGAAGAUAGAAACAUCAGAGAAAGACGAUUGCCGCCAAAUCCGCGUAUCUCGGGAGUCCUGUGGAUGUUCGUGCCAAGGCUAUUGCGAUCCGGAAUCAUGUUCCUGUGCCCAAUCAGGUAUUCAGUGCCAGGUCGAUAGGCUUAACUUCCCAUGUGGAUGUUCGCGAGAGGCAUGCGGUAACCCAUCAGGACGUGUAGAGUUUAAUCCGGUACGUGUUCGGACCCAUUUCAUCCACACACUGAUGCGAAUGGAGCUAGAAAAUACUCAAGAGCCAAAUAAAAGCCUGCAACCUCUUCAUCAUAAUCAGCAGCACCCGUUGCUACAAAAGAUCGAUGAGCUUCCUGCCAGCGAAAUAGACAUUGGUGUGGUAAGCACAGUUAGUGCGUUAGUACCGCCGGAAUCACACUAUAAUUGGGACAGUGUGAUGCAGCUGCCAUCGUCUCAAGAUCAGCAUCAACAGGCGCUACAGCAACCGCAACAUCAUGCUAGCUACCCUGUAGCCGAGCCGUUGCCCGAAAACGGAUGGUUUUGUCAUUAUUCCAAUGACGUAAGCAAUACUUAUCCGCUUUAUUCUGGACCCAGUGCAGCUAGUAGUGCGGAAGUCUUCACCUACGAUCAAACUCCGUAUGAUUCACUGGGAUAUCAUUCUACGGAGGUAGCGGAAAUGGGCAACCCGCAACAAUACCAUCAAUACAAUCUGUUUUCCUUGUCAAUUUGGUACAAAGUUCAUCCUUCACCCAAGCAACCUGAACUUUGCUGCACAGCGUUAAGCGUAUCAGAUGGAACAACGCCGAAAUUCAACUUCCGUGAAAACCGCUCUCCUGUCACUUUAUUAGGUGGUGGGUGACACGUUAACAUCCCCCCCAAAAGCUGUGGGUCACGGCAGUACCUUGAAAUAGGCUGAGCUCCAGCGUCUGACACAUGUGGAUUUGUAUAGGCUCCAUGGCUUAUUAUUGUGGCGUGAGUUACUGGUAACUAUUGCUGUUCCGAAAUUGUAGGGUAUUCUAAAAGCUAGAUUUAAAAUUGUUUUCGAAAGUAUGAUUCAUUUUAGAGAUGCUUUAGCUUACUCGUAUAGAUGCAUUUAUUCGUUUCUUUACAUUGUCGUUAAAUUGGCUGGAACAAAACGAAAUGGAAUCACAAGUUUACGGUUCGUCAUCAGUAAAAGCAUUCCUCCCUGCCUGGUUAAAAAAAGGUAACUGGAGGAUGAGUCCUGUUGCAAAAGA
rnacentral:misc_RNA from 1 species